rnacentral:rRNA from 1 species
UACGAAGGGUGCAAACGUUGCUCGGAAUUAUUGGGCGUAAAGCGCACGUAGGCGGCAUUGCAAGUCGGAUGUGAAAUCUUAUGGCUUAACCAUAAAAGUGCAUCCGAAACUGCAGUGCUUGAGUACUUAAGAGGAUCGCGGAAUUCCUGGUGUAGCGGUGGAAUGCGCAGAUAUCAGGAGGAACACCAACGGCGAAGGCAGCUCGCUGGGACGGUACUGACGCUAAGGCGCGAAAGCGUGGGGAGCGAACAGG